UGGGGAAUAUUGGUCAAUGGGCGAGAGCCUGAACCAGCCAAGUAGCGUGCAGGAUGACGGCCCUAUGGGUUGUAAACUGCUUUUAUAUGGGAAUAAAGUGAGGGACGUGUCCCUUAUUGCAUGUACCAUACGAAUAAGGACCGGCUAAUUCCGUGCCAGCAGCCGCGGUAAUACGGAAGGUCCAGGCGUUAUCCGGAUUUAUUGGGUUUAAAGGGAGCGUAGGCUGUUUGUUAAGCGUGUUGUGAAAUGUAAGAGCUCAACUUUUAGAUUGCAGCGCGAACUGGCAGACUUGAGUGCGCACAACGUAGGCGGAAUUCAUGGUGUAGCGGUGAAAUGCUUAGAUAUCAUGACGAACUCCGAUUGCGAAGGCAGCUUACGGGAGCGCAACUGACGCUAAAGCUCGAAGGUGCGGGUAUCGAACAGG
rnacentral:rRNA from 1 species